UGCUGCUAGACCUAGACUCGUCCUGUUUCUUUAAAUCCUUUAAAUCGAAACAAAUAGGAUUAGGCUGUUGUGAGAACUGUCCACAGAAAUGAUGUGCUCACCAAUCACUAUUAGGCUAUAUGAAUUGAAGAAAGUGUCUCAGAGGGAAGAUAAAUCUACAUGUAAUGGCCGUGAUAAACUCUGGACAAUCUCAUCAUCCCGCUCUUUCAGCAGGAGGGGGUCACUGUGACGUAGAAGCAGUGGCGUGGAUUCAAGACCACCGGAGCUCGAACCGACCGGACCGUUCAGUAACGACGCGACACACGCGACAAGAGCGGUCACAGAAUACUACAACGAAAAUCUUCAGAGACAGGUCGUGCCCAUUCUGAAGAGAAAGUUCAAC